AUGAACUUGAACUGCGGCUGUGGCCUGGACUCGGCAUUCAAACACGACAAACUGACCUCUGGUUGUAGAGAUAUCUUGAAGAUGCUGAAGAACAAACACAGAAUUCACAGAAUGGAAGAAAUUGUUUCACCAUAUACUGUGAUUUGGGGUGUCAGUUGCACUCCAGGGUCCUCUGGAAUCUGGAAUCACAUUUCAGGUUAUAACUUGGCCCUCAGACCAAAGAGAGAGGACCUGAGGUCCUUCUGCCUGGUGAGACCUAGGCAACGAAGUCUUAAUCAGAGGAUUAUCACAGUGCCCUACUCACUUGGUGAAUGUGCUCUACUCACUUUGGGAGUGAAUGAACCUAGAAGAAUGCCUAUGGUAGUGUAAGGUUUGGGCACUGGGCUUUGUAAUUCCAUAUCAAAGAAGUUAUGGUUGCCUUGAAGUAACUGGAAACUCAGAUUAAUUUUAGGCGGUUCCUAUAUGCCAGUUGGUAAAUCAUAUAACCCGAGCAUUGCUCCUCAGCUUUCAGUGAGCAUGACAUCAUUAUGAGACAAGCCAAUUGGGCUUCCCAUGAAAACUUACAAGGAGAUUUUUGUCUGAGCCACAAAUUUUAUUAGUCUAACCCAGGGACAGAGUGGUGUUCCCAGUAGUUCUUUGUGAUUUCUGGAUGUUGUGGCUCCCUUGCCUGGGAUCUAUUUGGUGCUCAGCAUUUAGCUAUAAAUAAGUCUUGAGCCCCAGUGUCUAGCCUGGGGUUGGGGAGCAGAAGGAGGGAGGACAACUGGAGAGGCUAGAGAUGUUAACAAGAAUGUGAAAGCCCAAAAGGAAGACAGGAAUCCAGUCUUAUUUGCUUGCUUUUUUUCUGUAGACAUACAGCCUGAUUGUAGCCUUUGGCCAGUUGUGUCUGCAGAAGAAAUUGAGCUUUCCUUUUCCCAAGUCUCUCUCUCUCAAAACCUAAACCUGUUUCAUAGCCACUCCCUGGAUGGUGCUAGUGAUUUAAAAAAACCUGCCUGCCAAUGCAGGAAACAUAGGAGUUCAAUCCCUGGGUUGGGAAGAUCCCCUCUGGAGAAGGAUGGCAGCCCAUUCCAGUGUUCUUGCCUGGAGAAUCCCAUGGACAAAAGAGCCUGGCAGGUUAUAGUCCACAGAGAUGCAAAGAGUUGGACACAACUGACGUGACUUAGCACAGAACAUACCUAAACCUGUUUCAUCCCUGCCCCUACACAGUAGUGAAUGAAUUGCCUCAUUUAGAGUCAGGAGAUGUAUGUUCAAGUCUUGACUGCCAAUUUCUGUGACUCCAGGUAAAUCACAUUGUCUGGUAAAGUGGUGUUAUACUUCCUUCCUGUCACUCCACAUAGUUACUGGGAGAAUAAAAUGAAUCAUAGGGUUGAAAGUAUUUUGUAGGUUAUCAAGCUCUGUGUAAUUGUAAAGGAGAAAGAAGACGUGUUUUUUUAAAUUUUAUUUUAUUUUUUAACUUUACAAUAUUGUAUUGGUUUUGCCAUAUAUCAACAUGAAUCCGCCACAGGUAUACACGUGUUCCCCAUCCUGAACCCUCUUCGCUCCUCCCUCCCCAUACCAUCCCUCUGGGUCGUCCCAGUGCACCAGCCCCAAGCAUCUAGUAUCAUGCAUCGAACCUGGACUGGUGACUCAUUUCAUAUAUGAUGUUAUACAUGUUUCAAUGCCAUUCUCCCAAAUCUGGCAUUUUAAACUAAGGAAUCCAGAUUGAAUAAAUUUUUCUGAGCUGUCCAGUGUGCCACAAGGUGGCAGCAGGAGCCUGUCUUAGCACCUAUCCUUAGCAAAGGGGGAAAAAAGGAAAGAUUUGGAUGCUGCUUUGCCCUUUUCUGCAAAGUUGAAGAACAGGAUUUAUUCCUUUAUCACUGCCUAAAUUCCUAACUCCACUAAAUCCUUCAAGUCCAUAUUAAAUAAUUUCUCAGAGGGCUUGUAUCCCGUUGUUUUUUUUUGGUUCUUGGCCACACCAUGUGUGUGACCAGGGAUGAAACCCAUGCCUUCCUGCAGUGGAAGCACAGCGUACUAACCACUAGACGACCAGGGAGUUCCCUGACUUGAAUUCUUAAAGCGAAAUCCCAGGGCACUUUCCUUCCUCCUUGUUGAAGUUAAACCAGCCCUAAUAGGUUUCAGUUAAUGGUUGCAAAUCUGUUCUGGGCUUUGGGCUUUCAUACAACUGUCUCCCCACCCCCACGCCUGCUAGGGAUGGCAGUGCUGUAGACUCCAAACUCACUUUAAUUUUCAUCCUAGAGUCAGCUCUAGUGGACCUGGAAAACCAUCUAAUCCAGCUGCUCAUUUUGAAGAAUAGGAAACUGAGGCACAGAGAGGGAAAUAAUUUGUCCAAGAUGAAAUAAGUGAUCAGUUUAUUGAAGAGUGAAAACUUCAGUCCCAAUUUCUUCCUGUGGGUUCAGUUUCUUUAUAAACGUGAAUAUUUCCCAGGUGUUUUGGGAGGCUCAAAGCAGCUUUUGUUUCGCCAAGUGGUGAGAAUUUUGAGCACUUUCUGAGGUAAAGGGAAAUAGGAAAUCUUUUGGUAGCAAACAUUUGAAAAAAUCUUCAGAAGAAGAGUUGCCAUAAGCACCUGUUUUAGGAAUCCCCAACUAUCUGAAAGGUAGGCCUUAGAGACUCUCAGGUACACAUGCUUGAAGGACUAUGACACGUAACGCCUCUGGAGAAAGAAAGAAAAUCAUUUUAAAGGAUACAUUUCAGUCUAUGGGCUUUCAUGUUAGGCUUGCCUUCCUAGUUAUAUUCUUCUCAGAGCCAUAUGUUAAAAGACAGUUCUCAGUAUCCCCUGAGUUAUGGAAAAAGGCAAGAAUGAGGGAAGCCAGCCUUAACCAUUUGCUACCUAUAAAGGGCAUUCUCUGUAUGCAGAAAAUCCACAUAAAGCUGGCAGAGAGGUAGAACAAAAUAAUGUGGAUUAAGAGUCUAAGGUAUUGAUUCAAAGCCUGCCCCAGUUAGUUACCUUUAUAGGCAAUUUUCAUUAAGUCUCAAUUUUCUUAUCUAUACAAUAGAUAUAAUAAUAUCUACCUUAUUAGCUAUGUAACCUUGGACAAGUUCUUUAAUCUCUGUGUACCCACUCCAGUAUUCUUGCCAUGAUGAUUCCAUGGACAGAGAAGCCUGGUAAGCUACAGUCCAUGGGGUCGCAAUAAGUUGGACAUGACUGAGCGACUGAGAAACUGAGCAUGCACUCACCUCCAUUAUAUCAUCUAGUAAAAUGAGGAUAAUAGUAAAAUGAACAGCCCUAUUUCAUAGGUUUUAUAAUGAUUAAUGACUAAUAAAUUAUUAUCUACAACCAUGCAUGGCACAUAAUAAACAGUUUGAAAAGUAUUAGUUAUCACUGUUCUUUUUAUUAAUGCUACCACCAUACAGGGUUGUUGUAGUGAUUAAAUUAGUGUAUGUAAAGGUUUUCUAAAAAGAGAAUAGGCGCUUAAUAAGAUGGUAUUUAUUUUUAUGUGAAAGGUCCUCUGGAGAAAGAAAUGGCAACCCAUCUAGUAUUCUUGCCUGGAGAAUCCUGUGGACAGAGGAGCCUGGUGGGCUACAGUUCAUGGAGUUGCAAAGAGUUGGACAUGACUGAGCAACUGAGCUUGCACAUGCACCAUAUGCAAGCCGGUCUUGACAAAUAUAUUCUUCCUGUACGUUUUUCUCCUUAUUCUUCUCUUCUUUCUUUGGCCUUAGCAGAAGCUUGGAUUCACCCCUAGAGUGUAGGGUGAAAGGGUUGUAGAACUAUGUUUCAGAUGGAGAGGUGAAGGAGAAGAAGGGAUAAACUAAGAGAUCUGUACAAUCUGUUCAUCAUCUCCAUGGGUGUUAUGCUAUCUGCACAGGUUUUCCCACGUCCACCUCUUAGCCUACCUACGGAGACCUUCUCCUGACAAGGCUGUGAGUGGUGACUGAGCAGGAGAAAGCUGAUCUGUAAGCUUUGACACUUAAAUUCAUGGUCAGCAGAAUUUCCAGUGGCUCUGACCCUGGUGUUCACAGAAUUGCUUUGAAGGCUCACUAUGGAGGAAUAAACCAGCUCAUCCAGCUCUGUUUCAUGUGAAGUUUCUGUGUGAAUUUAAGAGUCCUCAACCAUUAAUCACUAAAGUCAGCUUAGGUAGGGGAUUAAUAUUGUUAUAAUGCAGUUUACUCCAAAAAUAUUUCUCAACAGAAGUCAGGGGCCAGCGUGCUCAAUUAAGUUCUGCCACUGACAAGCUUUGUGGUAGACAGCAAGUCACUUCCCUCCUUGAGCUUCAUUCCUCCCAGUAGAUUGUUUCAGCCCUAAUAUUCCAAAGUUCUGAGAUGAAGGUGUGUAGAAGAAUGUUCCCAAUUUGGGGGCUGAGAAUUCUAGAGAGAGAGAGUGAAGAGAGUUAACUCUGAUCCAUGCUUUAUCUUUUGGUUCUUCGCACUAUCAGAGGCUGCCCUUGUUUCCUCCCCUCCCUCAGAGGAUGGUGACAGGGCAGUAUGUUCAUGAAAUUGCUUUCAAGCUUCCUCUCUGGAGGCUUGAAGUGCUUUGAGGACCUGGUUUCAUUUGUCUCUGCCCUGUCCUGUGCCUGGCAUGGUUCUUGCCACAAAGUAGAUGCUUAAUAAAUGUUUGCUGACUUGAAAUGGAGUGAAUACUUUGUGUUCUUAAAAUUUUUUUGAGGUAUAUUAACAUACAAUACAUACAUUUAAAGUGUGCAAUUUGAUAAGUUUUGACACACAGUGUGUCUGUGAAACCAUUAGUGCAGUCAAGACAAUUGACAUAUUCAUCACCCCCCAAAGUUUUCUCAUGUCUCCAUGUGUAAAACCUCGCUUUUAUCCUGUAUCUUCAAACGACCACUGACUGGCUGUCAGUGUAGUUUAGUUUGCAUUCUCUAGAGUUUUAUGUAAAUGGCAUGUAGUAUGUACUCUUUGUUUGGGGGGAGGAUGUAUCUUUUUUCACUCACUGUAGUUAUUUUAAGAUCCAUCCGUAUUGUAGCCUAUAUUAAUUGUUCAUUCUUCUUUAUUGCCAAGUAGUAUCUGUUAUAUAAAUAUACUGCAUUUGUUUGUUUAUUCAUCUGUCAGACUUUGGAUUGUUUCUGAUUUUUGGCUAUUUAAUGUAAAGCUUCUGUGAACAUUCAUGUAUAAAUCUUUGCGUGGAUGAAUGCUUUUAUUUCUAUUAGGUAAACGCCUAGGAGUGGAAUGGCUGCAUCAAAUGGUAGUUGUCUGUUUAACUUUUAAAUGGUCAGUCAGUCAGUUCAGUCUCUCAGUUGUAUCCGACUCUUUGCGACCCCAUGAAUCGCAGCAUGCCAG
rnacentral:lncRNA from 1 species